rnacentral:snRNA from 12 species
AGCUUUGUGCAGUGGCAGUAUCAUAGCCAAUGAGGUUUAUCUGAGGUGUGAUUAUUGCUAUUAGAAAUAAAUAAAUAAAUAAAU